rnacentral:rRNA from 1 species
CUACGGGGCGCUCCAGUGAGGAAUAUUGCACAAUGGGGGGAACCCUGAUGCAGCAACGCCGCGUGGAGGAUGACGCAUUUCGGUGUGUAAACUCCUUUUAUAUGUCAAGAGAAUGACGGUAGCAUAUGAAUAAGCACCGGCUAACUCCGUGCCAGCAGCCGCGGUAAUACGGAGGGUGCAAGCGUUACUCGGAAUCACUGGGCGUAAAGGACGCGUAGGCGGGUUGGAAAGUCAGGUGUGAAAUCCUACAGCCUAACUGUAGAACUGCACUUGAAACUUCUAAUCUAGAGUAUGGGAGGGGGAGAUGGAAUUAGUGGUGUAGGGGUAAAACCCGUAGAUAUCACUAGGAAUACCUAAAGCGAAGGCGAUCUCCUGGAACAUUACUGACGCUAAGGCGUGAAAGCGUGGGGAGCAAACAGGAUUAGAUACCCGUGUAGUC